UACAGAGGUCUCAAGCGUUGUUCGGAUUCAUUGGGCGUAAAGGGUGCGUAGGUGGCGGGGCAAGUUUGGUGUGAAAUCCCGGGGCUCAACCCCGAAACUGCACUUGAUACUGCCUUGCUUGAGUACUGGAGAGGAGAUUGGAAUUUACGGUGUAGCAGUGAAAUGCGUAGAUAUCGUAAGGAAGACCAGUGGCGAAGGCGAAUCUCUGGACAGUUACUGACACUGAGGCACGAAGGCCAGGGAGCAAACGGG
rnacentral:rRNA from 1 species